rnacentral:rRNA from 1 species
AGAGUUUGAUCCUGGCUCAGAACGAACGCUGGCGGCGCGUCUUAAGCAUGCAAGUCGAACGGUAAGGGAGAGCUUGCUCUCCCCUAGAGUGGCGGACUGGUGAGUAACGCGUGGGUGACCUGCCCUGAAGAUGGGGAUAGCUAGUAGAAAUAUUAGAUAAUACCGAAUGUGCUCAUUUACAUAAAGGUAAAUGAGGAAAGGAGCUACGGCUCCGCUUCAGGAUGGGCCCGCGUCCCAUUAGCUGGUUGGUGAGGUAAAGGCUCACCAAGGCAACGAUGGGUAUCCGGCCUGAGAGGGUGAACGGACACAUUGGGACUGAGAUACGGCCCAAACUCCUACGGGAGGCAGCAGCUAAGAAUAUUCCGCAAUGGACGAAAGUCUGACGGAGCGACGCCGCGUGGAUGAUGAAGGCCGGAAGGUUGUAAAGUCCUUUUAUCCGUGAAGAAGAAGAUUAAGAGGGAAUGCUUAGUUGGUGACGGUAGCGGAUGAAUAAGCACCGGCUAAUUACGUGCCAGCAGCCGCGGUAACACGUAAGGUGCAAGCGUUGUUCGGAAUUAUUGGGCGUAAAGGGCAUGCAGGCGGUCGUGCAAGCCCGGCGUGAAAGACGGGGGCUUAACUCCCGAAGUGCGCUGGGAACUGCAAGGCUUGAGUUUCUGAGGGGCAGCCGGAAUUCCACGUGUAGGGGUGAAAUCUGUAGAUAUGUGGAAGAACACCAAUGGCGAAGGCAGGUUGCUAGCAGAAGACUGACGCUGAGGUGCGAAGGUGCGGGGAGCGAACAGGAUUAGAUACCCUGGUAGUCCGCACAGUAAACGAUGUACACUAGGUGU